rnacentral:rRNA from 1 species
GUGGGGAAUAUUGCACAAUGGGCGCAAGCCUGAUGCAGCGACGCCGCGUGGGGGAUGACGGCCUUCGGGUUGUAAACCUCUUUCAGUAGGGAACAAGCCCCUUGGGGUGAGGGUACCUGCAGAAGAAGUACCGGCUAACUACGUGCCAGCAGCCGCGGUAAUACGUAGGGUACAAGCGUUGUCCGGAAUUAUUGGGCGUAAAGAGCUCGUAGGUGGUCUGUCGCGUCUGCUGUGGAAACGCAUCGCUCAACGGUGCGCGUGCAGUGGGUACGGGCGGACUGGAGUGCAGUAGGGGAGUCUGGAAUUCCUGGUGUAGCGGUGAAAUGCGCAGAUAUCAGGAGGAACACCGGUGGCGAAGGCGGGACUCUGGGCUGUAACUGACGCUGAGGAGCGAAAGCAUGGGGAGCGAACAGGAUUAGAAACCCCAGUAGUCC